rnacentral:misc_RNA from 1 species
AACGCACAUUGCGCCCUUUGGUAUUCCUUAGGGCAUGCCUGUUCGAGCGUCAUUUCAACUGUCGUGCUAAGUUAGUGCACUGCUGUUGGGCGUUUGUCCCGCCGCGGCGCGUGGACUCGCCUCGAAUCGAUUGGCAGCCGGCGAUGUAGGCCUCGAGCGCAGCAGACUAGCGCCUCGAGUGCCCGCGGGCCGGGUCCCAGCAAGCUCACCUCCACACUUUGACCUCGGAUCAGGUAGGGAUACCCGCUGAACUUAA